rnacentral:rRNA from 1 species
AUUGAACGCUAGCGGGAUGCCUUACACAUGCAAGUCGAACGGCAGCACGGACUUCGGUCUGGUGGCGAGUGGCGAACGGGUGAGUAAAGUAUCGGAACGUGCCCAGUAGAGGGGGAUAACUACGCGAAAGCGUAGCUAAUAACGCAUACGCCCUGAGGGGGAAAGCGGGGGAUGGCAAGACCUCGCGUUAUGGGAGCGGCUGAUAUCGGAGUAGCUAGUUGGUAGGGUAAAGGCCUACCAAGGCGACGAUCCGUAGCUGGUUUGAGAGGACGACCAGCCACACUGGGACUGAGACACGGCCCAGACUCCUACGGGAGGCAGCAGUGGGGAAUUUUGGACAAUGGGGGCAACCCUGAUCCAGCCAUUUCGCGUGUGCGAUGAAGGCCUUCGGGUUGUAAAGCACUUUUGGCAGGGAAGAAAAGGUUUGGGCUAAUACCCUGAGCCGCUGACGGUACCUGCAGAAUAAGCACCGGCUAACUACGUGCCAGCAGCCGCGGUAA